UACGGAGGGUGCAAGCGUUAUCCGGAUUCACUGGGUUUAAAGGGUGCGUAGGUGGUUUUGUCAGUCAGUGGUGAAAGCCCGGAGCUUAACUCCGGAACUGCCAUUGAUACUGCUUAACUUGAAUCAACUUGAGGUGGAUGGAAUAAUACAUGUAGCGGUGAAAUGCUUAGAUAUGUAUUAGAACACCGAUUGCGAAGGCAGUUCACUAAGGUUGUAUUGACACUGAGGCACGAAAGCGUGGGGAGCAAACAGG
rnacentral:rRNA from 1 species